AACGCUAGCUACAGGCUUAACACAUGCAAGUCGAGGGGCAGCAUGAACUUAGCUUGCUAAGUUUGAUGGCGACCGGCGCACGGGUGAGUAACACGUAUCCAACCUGCCGAUGACUCGGGGAUAGCCCUUCGAAAGAAAGAUUAAUACCCGAUGGCAUAGUUCUUCCGCAUGGUAGAACUAUUAAAGAAUUUCGGUCAUCGAUGGGGAUGCGUUCCAUUAGGUUGUUGGCGGGGUAACGGCCCACCAAGCCUUCGAUGGAUAGGGGUUCUGAGAGGAAGGUCCCCCACAUUGGAACUGAGACACGGUCCAAACUCCUACGGGAGGCAGCAGUGAGGAAUAUUGGUCAAUGGACGAGAGUCUGAACCAGCCAAGUAGCGUGAAGGAUGACUGCCCUAUGGGUUGUAAACUUCUUUUAUACGGGAAUAAAGUGAGGCACGUGUGCCUUUUUGUAUGUACCGUAUGAAUAAGGAUCGGCUAACUCCGUGCCAGCAGCCGCGGUAAUACGGAGGAUCCGAGCGUUAUCCGGAUUUAUUGGGUUUAAAGGGAGCGUAGGCGGACGCUUAAGUCAGUUGUGAAAGUUUGCGGCUCAACCGUAAAAUUGCAGUUGAUACUGGGUGUCUUGAGUACAGUAGAGGCAGGCGGAAUUCGUGGUGUAGCGGUGAAAUGCUUAGAUAUCACGAAGAACUCCGAUUG
rnacentral:rRNA from 1 species